AGGAGGAACCCAUUCCGGGCUCAGAAUACUGGGUGUGUGCCACCCUCUGGGUGGGGGUCAUGGCGGCAAAUCCAGGUCAGGCGGCCCCUUGGGACUGGAAGGAUUGUCUGGAUCACACAGUGGCAACCUGAAAACACUGCAGCUCUAGGUUGUGGGUAGCAGCCUGGCUCAGGCUACCUGUUGUGUUAGGUGUGUGGCCUGAUGGCUCUGACGGGACAGACAUCAACUCCCUUUGCCGCUCCCACAAUGAACGGGUGGUGGCCGUGGCAGACGACUUCUGCAAAGUACACCUCUUUCAGUACCCAUGCGCUCGAGCCAAGGUGAGGCCUCGGGACCACUGGGCCCAGGAGGGUAGGUUUGGGACCCUGCCAUUGCUGCAACUGUUUCUUUUUUUCUCAUCUAGGCUCCAAGUCGUAUGUACUCAGGCCAUGGCAGCCAUGUGACUAGUGUCCGGUUCACACACGACGACUCAUUCCUUGUCUCCUUAGGUGGCAAGGAUGCUAGCAUCUUUCAGUGGCGAGUGCUGGGGGCAGGGAGCUCUGGACCCGCUCCUGCCACGCCAUCUAGAACUCCCUCUCUGUCCCCUGCCUCCUCCCUGGACGUGUGAUUGAUGCCGGAAGGUCUUGUCCUUCUGGUACUGUGGUCUGGCCCCACCCUGGCCAAAACCCCUAGGACCAAGGACAGUCUUUUCCUGGGCUGGCUUUUUCUUUGACUUAAUACAUUCCCAAUUGCGCAUUUUCCUGGAGGGGUGAACCACCCCAUUGCACACAAUAACAGACUUGCUGGUUGAGCCGGGCAAUUCAACUCUGACACUCUGCCCGGUGAGGGGCAAUAAAAAGAAAAAAGUC
rnacentral:lncRNA from 1 species